ensembl:misc_RNA Y_RNA Y RNA
UGCUUGUCUGAGUGCAGUGGUGUGACGAGUAAUUGAUCACAACCAGUUAACAGAGUUCUUUGUUCCUUCUGCUGCUUCACUUGACCAGCCUGAA